AUAUCUAUGAUGGGGACACUGAACUAAAAGCAAUUUAAAACGUUCCCAAACUUCAUGGAAUGGUUCACCUUCAAUUUGUGAAAAAAGUAGCAAUCUUACCUCUAAAUUC